CCCACCCCACCCCACCCCGACCUCAACCCAACCCUACCCUCCCCAACCUGUACGACCUCGCCCUCCCCACCCCACCCCACCCCACCACACCACACCACGACCUUGCCCUUCCCUCCACGACCUCAGCCCUCCAGAGGAAUCAGCUCGCGAGGAGUGGCGGCGCUGGGCGGAUGUAGGAGCGUCGCGGGGUUCACCGCGAGGAAGCUGUCUUCCUAACCAUAAGUCAUGUCGCCUUCUUCCUCCCCCUUCUUAUUCCCCUCUUAAAACGAACCAGGUUAUGGUAAUUGUUCAACAAUUCUUUGAGUUUCAAGGUUCUUGUGAAGUGCAUGGGCACACAUGUAUAUUAUACCAAGUGUAGGGUUCAAGCUUGCAUAUUAAGGUGAUUCUAUUCUUGACAUUACAAACAAAAUGCACUUGGUUUGUUUCUUUACCUGGGAACAUAUUCUUUAUGAUAUCAUUCGCUUGUAAACACCAAGAAAUUCCAUACACUUGGCGCAAUUGUUAAAACUUUAGCAAUCUGAGCAGAGUACAUGAUGAAUUGUCCAAAUCAACAAGUGGGAAUUGACUCCACCAACCAAAAAGUUUACCAGGUUCAUGAACAGACCCUCUUUUUAACUGUCUAGUUAGUUGCUAUUGAUAUAUGGACUUCUUUUUUCUUUGCUUUUUUUCUCAUAAGGGUGUACAUUCAAUCCACUACUGUUGUUGAAUUAUCGUAGCAGCCAAACUCAUGACUCUUAUUUGUUGUUUGAUGCUUAUAAGAAUCUAUGUCAUAGGGUUUUCUUUGAUAGAUAAUGAAUGUUUUAUGUUUAGGGAAACAAUUUUGAAUUGGACAGAAAAAUAUGUUUGAGAAGAAACCUUUCUGAGAUGUAUUUUUGUUAAAGCACUUUUGGUUCUUCAGUUCAUUAAUCAUUAAAAUCAGGAUUAAAAGAAAGAUGAAAGGAGAUUUUUUUUGUUGUGUUUUUGUGGAGAUGCAAAGGUUUAAUUUUAUUGUUUGUAGCUUCUAUUUGGGUUAACUUAUUUUGAGCGUUUAACUUUCAAAAUGGUUUUUUGUUGGAAUGGGCAGGAUAGAUGCAUGGUGUAGAUGGUGGAGCUACAUCCAGAGGGUUGUGAAGAUGCACGAGGCCAGUUCAAAAGUGAAAAUGGGUAGCUGUUGUGCUUAGCUUAUAUUCCCAAAGUUAAAGAACAAUAGGAACUAAUGUUUCUGCCAAAUGUUUAUGUAUAGCUUCAGCACAAACAUGUCUGGCUCAUUCUAAUUUGUAAAGAUUCACUUAUGCUAGUAAACUAAUUUGCUGUGAUUAUUAGUAAUGUUGGUUGGUCUA